rnacentral:rRNA from 1 species
AGUCGGUCCCAAGGGUUGGGCUGUUCGCCCAUUAAAGCGGUACGCGAGCUGGGUUCAGAACGUCGUGAGACAGUUCGGUCCCUAUCCGUCGUGGGCGUAGGAAAUUUGAGAGGAGCUGUCCUUAGUACGAGAGGACCGGGAUGGACGCACCGCUGGUGUACCAGUUGUUCUGCCAAGGGCAUAGCUGGGUAGCUAUGUGCGGAAGGGAUAAGUGCUGAAAGCAUCUAAGCAUGAAGCCCCCCUCAAGAUGAGAUUUCCCAUAGCGUAAGCUAGUAAGAUCCCUGAAAGAUGAUCAGGUUGAUAGGUUCGAGGUGGAAGCAUGGUGACAUGUGGAGCUGACGAAUACUAAUAGAUCGAGGACUUAACCAUAUAA